GACGAACGCUGGCGGCGUGCUUAACACAUGCAAGUCGAACGGUGACGAGGGGCUUGCCCCUCCGAUCAGUGGCGAACGGGUGAGUAACACGUGAGCAACCUGCCCCAGACUCUGGGAUAACCCCGGGAAACCGGAGCUAAUACCGGAUACGAGACGGAGAGGCAUCUCUACCGUCUGGAAAGUUUUUCGGUCUGGGAUGGACUCGCGGCCUAUCAGCUAGUUGGUGAGGUAACGGCUCACCAAGGCGACGACGGGUAGCCGGCCUGAGAGGGCGACCGGCCACACUGGGACUGAGACACGGCCCAAACUCCUACGGGAGGCAGCAGUGGGGAAUAUUGCACAAUGGGCGAAAGCCUGAUGCAGCGACGCCGCGUGAGGGAUGACGGCCUUCGGGUUGUAAACCUCUUUCAGCAGGGAAGAAGCGCAAGUGACGGUACCUGCAGAAGAAGCACCGGCUAACUACGUGCCAGCCGCCGCAGUAACAC
rnacentral:rRNA from 1 species